rnacentral:lncRNA from 1 species
UGCGCCAAGAGUCCUUCUCAACUUGGACUCUUGGUUUUUAGCGUUAACCAUCAAAUAUGGUGCCUCUUUUUGGCUGCUUCCAGAUGGCUUGACUUGACCCAAAUGCCCACCAAAUUGGGCUAGCAAAUCAGCAAGGCAUGAGACCAAAUUGAUCUUCAAAGAAGCUAGGGUUUCCACACAUGCUAGCAUGCUUCCCAGA